rfam:Ovis aries breed Texel chromosome 3, whole genome shotgun sequence.
UCCCUGGUGGCUCAGAUGACAAAGCGUCUGCUUGCAAUGCAGGAGACCUGGGUUCGAUCCCUGGGUUGGGAA